CCUACGGGGGGCUGCAGUGGGGAAUAUUGGACAAUGGGGGCAACCCUGAUCCAGCCAUGCCGCGUGUGUGAAGAAGGCCCUCGGGUUGUAAAGCACUUUCAGUGAGGAAGAACGCCUGGUGGUUAAUACCCAUCAGGAAAGACAUCACUCACAGAAGAAGCACCGGCUAACUCCGUGCCAGCAGCCGCGGUAAUACGGAGGGUGCGAGCGUUAAUCGGAAUUACUGGGCGUAAAGCGCGCGUAGGUGGCUUGAUAAGCCGGUUGUGAAAGCCCCGGGCUCAACCUGGGAACGGCAUCCGGAACUGUCAAGCUAGAGUGCAGGAGAGGAAGGUAGAAUUCCCGGUGUAGCGGUGAAAUGCGUAGAGAUCGGGAGGAAUACCAGUGGCGAAGGCGGCUUUCUGGACUGACACUGACACUGAGGUGCGAAAGCGUGGGUAGCAAACAGGAUUAGAUACCCUAGUAGUC
rnacentral:rRNA from 1 species